rnacentral:lncRNA from 1 species
GCAAUGUUAGGGUUUGCGUGAGAUGAAAGUGUGUGAGUCAGAUUGAAUUUUUCAGAGCUGCCUGGGGGUUGCUCUGAGUUCUCUGUCAGGUUUCUCUCCAGGUUUUGUCAAGGGUUUUGUUUCAAGGAAACCUCAGAGUAUUUUGCUUCUCUUCCUUUUUCUGUCUGAUCUCCCUCUUUUAUAACCUGAUUUUCAUGGCUUUGUGGGCUCAAAUGAGAGAGAUCCAAGUCCAAGUUUUU